AACGCUAGCUACAGGCUUAACACAUGCAAGUCGAACGGAUUCUGGAUUCGUCUGGAAUUAGUGGCAAACGGGUGAGUAACACGUAUCCAACCACCCUGCGACUCGGGGAUAGCCUCUUGAAAGGGAGAUUAAUAUCCGAUGUACUGUUUUUGGUGCAUGCCAUUUUCAGUAAAGUUUUUUACGGUCGCUGACGGGGAUGCGUUCCAUUAGAUAGUCGGUGUGGUAACGGCUCACCGAGUCUAUGAUGGAUAGGGGUUCUGAGAGGAAGGUCCCCCACAUUGGAACUGCGACACGGUCCAAACUCCUACGGGGGGCAGCAGUGAGGAAUAUUGGUCAAUGGGCGAAAGCCUGAACCAGCUAUGUAGCGUGAAGGAUGACUGCCCUAUGGGUUGUAAACUUCUUUUGUUCGGGAAUAACAGACUUCACUUGUGGAGUUUUGCAUGUACCGUUCGAAUAAGGAUCGGCUAACUCCGUGCCAGCAGCCGCGGUAAUACGGAGGAUCCUAGCGUUAUUCGGAUUUAUUGGGUUUAAAGGGAGCGUAGGCGGGGGGUCAAGUCAGCUGUGAAAUACGUACGCUUAACGUUCGUCUUGCAGUUGAAACUGGUUUUCUUGAGUGCGUAUGAGGCAGGCGGAAUUCGUGGUGUAGCGGUGAAAUGCUUAGAUAUCACGAAGAACUCCGAUUG
rnacentral:rRNA from 1 species